UACGUAGGGUGCGAGCGUUAAUCGGAAUUACUGGGCGUAAAGCGUGCGCAGGCGGUUCGUUGUGUCGGUGGUGAAAUCCCCGGGCUUAACCUGGGAAUGGCCAUGGAAACUGGCGAACUGGAGUGCGGCAGAGGGGGGUGGAAUUCCUGGUGUAGCGGUGAAAUGCGCAGAUAUCAGGAGGAACACCAAUUGCGAAGGCAGCUCGCUGGGACGUUACUGACGCUGAGACGCGAAAGCGUGGGGAGCAAACAGG
rnacentral:rRNA from 1 species